CAGUCCCCGACCCUGCUCCCCGGCUGGAGCACCGGAGUGCCGGAGCGAGGCAAGCCCCAGAUCGCGCUCCCAAGCGGAUGCUCAAGGGCCAGAUUAAAAUGGUUGGCAGGCCAGAUCCGGCCCCCAGGCCGUAGUUUGCCCACCCUGUGCUAUAUACUUAAAUGGCUCUGUUCGAAUCAAUGCCUUUCUGUUUUUAAUAUUUAGUGGGAGUUGCAUGUUGAUUUUUUUUUAUUGGUAUAUGUACUUGUGUGGCAGGAGGAGGGGAUGUAAACUACUACAGACACAAAGAAGUGGGGUGUGAUCAAAUAAGUUUGAGAAUCACUGGCUUAGAGCACCCCUCAAGCUGUUCUAAACUGUGUCGCAAGCCCCCAGCUUGCUCCAGGAUCAGGGAAGCCCAAAUGUCAUCUUUGCAAUGGAUCCUGGACACAACUAAGGACUGGGCCUUUUCCUAAGUAAUAUUUUUUUAUUUCAUUAUGCACUCUGGAUCAUAAGAACUAUACAAAAGUAUAUGCUCUUGUUUAAUAGACUCAGCUUGUACUUGCAGCCAAGUACCAUACGCAAGUUUCUAAAGAUAGUUCAGGGUAAUUUUAGUGGGCUUCGGAGACUAAAUCAAAAUUGAAAGAAGUUGGAAAUUAUAUUGUGUUCCUGAUUAUUUGAUGUAAUAGCCAGGCUUUUUUGUUGCUCAUCUAAACUGCUGUGAAUAGUCUCUAUUGUCAGACUAUUGAAGUGUUUCUUCUGCAGAGUAUUGUUGUUUGGUUUUGAGCUUUUUCAAAAGUAUUAGUGAAAUCAUGACAAAAUAUUGGUUGUGUGUCACUUCACUAGUGGACCCUAGCUUGACAAAUAUCCUCCUUUCAUUUAUUAUUAAUUGUCAUUUCUUUGGAGCAGAGCCCAUCUUUUCACUCAAGGUAUGUACAUUGCCAGCACAAUGGGGCUUCAAACCUUGAUUGGGGUCACUACGUGCUACUGCAUUACAUACAAUAAUAAUAUUGAUAUAGGUAGAUAUUAAUAUUAAUGUAUUGUAUAUAAUUAAGUGAACUGUGGGGAAAAUUGUAUGUUGAAGUGCUAUAACCAGAUACCUUUCAACCCAUAACAUUGUUAGAAGGGCGUAACAUGGAAUCCUUAGGGCCUGAUCCUCUGGCCUUUAUAUGUGCAUAGCCCUCAGUGAUGUCAAGGUCAGUUACAAAAAGACAGAGCACAGAGUCAGGGUCUUUUAUAAACUGAAACACAUUGUAUUAGAGACAGUCAUAUGAAGUUGUCUGCAUUCUUUAAUUUGACUUCUCCUCUGCCGCCUCAAUGGUGAUUUAAUUAAAACAAAACCCCAUGUGUUAAUGGAAAUUACUUUGCUUAAUUAUAACUUGUUGCAAGCUACAACAUUUGAUCAUAACUUUUGAUAAUUACAGUAUAUAGGCCUUUAUAUGGUUUAUGUAAAACCAAAUUCAAUUAUGUUUCUUUUGUAGUGUUCCCAAAGAAUCAAAUUAUUUGUCUGUCUGUGAGCGGAUGAUACGCCUACACACACGCAUAUAUAGACAGAUUAUGUACACAUACAUAUAUAUUUUAUGGACAUAUAUAUAUAAUUGCACACACGUGUGUGUGUAUACAUAGGUACAUAUGUUUAUGUAUAUAAUAUAGAUAUGUUAGCUUUUGCAGGCGUUCCAAAAGUAAGUCUACUAAUUAAAGCUCUAAUACCCAUCUUAAGGCUGAUAAUUAGGUAUAAAGAAAACAAGAGACAGGAUUAGUGUUCAGAUCAUGUUCCAAAUGCUUCUUAAUUGGGUGUUUGUAAUCAGUCCUGAUUGCAAGAGGCAGUGGUUUGGCAGAAUAAAGAAAGAAAAAGGCUUAUGCCUACUAUUUUCCUGUUAGUUGACUUGGACAUAGUAUUUUGGUCAGGAUCCAAUGGCAUGAUGUCAAAGAAGGUAACUUUGUCAGCUACAGAUAUGCUCGUAAAGCAUACACACAAACCUCCCUUGUGCUCUUUUGAAAAAUAAAAAUUAAUAUUCUAUAGAACUAGCUCAAAACAAGUGAGUUGUUUUCAUUCAGAAUCUUAUAAAGUGUUUUCAAGCUGACCAUAGAAGAGACUUUGUUCUUCUGGCCUCCCUCCACCACUGACUGCUGAAAUUAGGUCUGAGUUCACUUUAAGCUUUCAUUUUGUUGACCUUGGCUCUCUUCUUGCUGACCCACAGUUCUCCAUCACAAAACCACACAGUUUGGUAUAAUGAUUAUUUCUUUAUCUUAAGUAACCAAAUAAUUUUUCAAGCAGGGUGACAGAUUUCCUUCUUGUACUCUGGGAAACAAGCACCUGGUUAGUUCCAUACAGAAUUUUGAUGACCUUCCUGAAUGAGAUUUGAAAGUUUUAUAAGUCACCUGGCAACUUUUGAGGAGCACAGAUUUUGUCAUGUCAAAUGCAUCACUUCGUUCUGAUCAAUCAGGAUGGAGCAUCAACAGAGGUUGGAGGAAGUUGAAAGACCAAAUACCAUCACAUGAGAGUUCAACGUCACACAAAGAAAGCUAUGUUGCAUGGAAAUCAGCCAGUAGGGCAACAUCAGCUGAAAGUUCAGUUGAGAAUUUGCUCUUGACUGAACUCUCUACAGAAACUAAUAACGGGAAAAAACUUCUUGAGCGCAUCUUGAAUGUCAUCCUUUUUCUUUCCGAGCGGGGAUUGACUUUCUUUGGUUCCAGUCAAUGUAUUGGUGAUCGUGCAAAUCAAAACUUUCUAGGCAUAGUUGAGCUCCUCAGCAAAUAUGACCCACUUUUAUCAGAGCAUGUUAAACGUAUUCGAGAAUCGCAAGAGAGUCAAAAGUGCAUGCAAGUCCGUUAUCGCUCCACAUGCAUACAAAAUGAGUUUAAUGAGCUAUGUGGGUCAUUCAUACAAACAACAAUUCUUGAUGAGAUUCAAAAUGCCACGUAUUUUUCAGCCAUUGUUGAUGCCACUCCAGAUUGUUCUCACAAGGAACAGAUGAGUAUAGUUAUUCAGUAUGUUAAGAUUGUAGACAGUGCAAAAUUUUCAAUUGAAGAAAGGUUUAUUUUGUUUGAUAACUUCACGAGAAAAACUGGAAAAGAAAUCGUUGCUUGAGUACUAGCAAUUCUAGAAGGUUUUAAGUUAGAUUUUCAAGUCUGCAUUGGUCAAGCCUAUGACAAUGGAUCUAUAUGGCUGGGAAGUACAAAAGUGUACAAACAGUUCUGAUUAAGCAUAAUUCACACUCUAUUUUCUCCAGCUGUGGAAACCACACACUAAACCUUGUAGGUGUUGACUGUGCUGAAUCAUGCAAGGAGGCAAUUACCUUGGAACUGUUUAGCAAAUGUACAAUCUCUUCGGUAGCAGUCCACA